CCAAAAUACUAGUGGGAGAAUCCCUCUUCAAGUUUUCAACUUUCCAAGAAUUAGACUCUAAAGAUUGCAAAAAUGGGUGUUGAAGAAGUUGUUUAGCUGUCCAUCGUUCUUUUGGGUCUUUUAUCAAACACUUUGCUAAAAAUUCUCUAGCAUCGUUGGAUAAACAAUUUGGGAAUUGAGGCACAUCCCCUGAAUAACCAAUUCUAUACAGAGCCGAAACAGGAUCCUUCAUAUCAGUCCAAGGAGGUGACCCUGCUCUUUUGGGUCUUUUUUCAAACACUUUGCUAAAAAUUCUCUAGCGUCGUCGGAUAAACUAUUUGGGAAAUGAGGCACAUCCCCUGAAUAACCAAUUCUAUACAGAGCAGAGACAGGAUCCUUCAUAUCAGUCCAAGGAGGUGACCCUGUAGCCAUUUCAAUAAUAGUACACCCAAAAGCCCAAAUAUCAGCUGUAAAUCUUUGUUCUUCGCCUCGAGCAACUUCAGGUGCCAUAAAAGCCGGCGUGCCAGAUAUUCCAGAAUCCCCAGAAUUUUCAUCUCGUAGCAAUUUCCCACAUCCCAAAUCUGCAAUCGUGCCAGAUAUUCCAGAAUUGGCAGAAUUUUCAUCUCGUGCAAAUU
rnacentral:lncRNA from 1 species